GCCGGCCCGAGGAGAAGGAGGAUCCUAGGACCCAGGUAACAAAAGAACCAGGAGUCAUCCAAUGAAAUGAAUAAUGCAUCAAAUAGAAAUCAAACAAAAGGAAAAACUUCUUCACAUAAUUCACAAGUGGGACUUGUUGCUAGGCAAUGUUGUGAAGACCAGAAAAGAUUCUGAAAAGAAUUAGCAUAACGUAGCUGAGCAAUAUUUAAGGUCCCAUGGGAGCUGCUGCAGGAAGAAAUAACCUAGGGCCCAGAUCCUGCAAGUUUCUGAGUGCUUCCAGGGACUGUGAAUUAACUUUACUGGGAACUGAGAUCAUUCAACACCAGUUAGAAGAUCCACUGGCAGGAAACUAGCUUGUGUUAUGGGGAGGGUAAAGUGACCAUAUGACUUCAUUUUACUAAGACAGUCCCAGUUUUUCAUGUGGCUGCCUUCUUAGUGUCCCAGGUCCACUUGAUUAUGUUUUCAUUUAAUCAAAACAUUUUUAGAACUACAAAAUGUUUGUUAGAAGAAUAUUGUUAUAUAUCAAGCAGAAUUUACUCUGAGUUUAGCAGAAACAAACAGUCCGGUCAAAUGAGUGUUCAGUGUGAUUAAUAGUAUUUGGAGUGAAGAGUUCAAUGAGGCAUAUUGGCUGACAACAGCGAUCAACCGGGAGACCUCUAAAGCUGAAAUUCUGAGUCCCUACAGCUUGACACAAAGAGCCAGACUUUCUCACCAAGAUCACUAACAGACUCACAUGGACACAGAUUGGGGGGUACAACAUAAACUGACAAUGGGUUACACAAUCAAAUAUAUUCUUUUGAAUGAUAAUGACAAAUAUUGAGUGUUCCAUGAUAAAUGUAUUCAGACCAGUAAAUUACUGGAAAUUAUCAGUCACACCAAGAAAUGGCAGUGUUGCUAUUGUAUCACACGUGGGAAAUAGCAACACCAGCAUAUGUUUUUGCAAAGGGCACUUUGUGGGUUUUGUAUCAGUAUUUUGUGACUCUAAAACAGUCAUCACAAAUUGGAUUUUUUUUUUCAAAAAUAUUGUCAAGCUUAAUGAAAGGGCCACUAGAUCAUCAGAAACAUGAUGCACAUGCUUCAUGAUUAUGGUCAGAGACCAGUCUUUUGAAAAAAGCCUCCAACUUACAAAAUGAAGUCUAAGCAGCACAAUUAGAGUUUGAUUCUGAUAACACUUACACUAGCUUUACAAGAAAAAAAUCCAUUCAGCUUGAUUUUUCACUCAUCUAUAUUGAGGCAAGUUAGAAGUAACUCCACUGAAAUCAGUAGAGUAUAAAACCAAUGCAAAUAGAUAAUUGGGUCAAAAAAAUGGAGAAAAUGCUCCUGUUAUGUAUUUGACAAACUGUAAUGAACAAAAAUAGAGAUGUAGCUGUGUUAGUUUGGUCUAGCUGAAACAAAA